CAUUUGAGGAACACCAGAAUCCUUGGUAACCACAGACAGAUAGAAGUCUGCAAUCUGCUCUCUGUCAAUCUCUCUGGUUGUGCUCAGAACUCCAGCAGUGCUCAGACUGAAAUAACUGGUGGCAGGACCUGUGCUCAGCGGUGAUGAUUUGUCCUGUCGAUGGGUUGAUCGUGAACUGAGAGUUUCCACCGAUGAUCCUAUAAC
rnacentral:lncRNA from 1 species